UACAGAAAAAUUGGUUGUCCUGCUUUUUUCCAUCAUCUAAGUCUCUAGUAAUUUAUUGGUAGUUAAACCACAUACUGUUUAAAAGUAUGUUGUUUAGCUUACAUGUAAUAUGUGCAUGUGUAUGUGUGUGUGCACGUGUAUGUGUGCAUAAUAUCUUUAUAAUUAUAUCUUCCUGGUGAAUUUUUUUUUAUCAUUAAUGUCCUUCUUUGUCUUUUGUGAAAUUUUUUGAUUUUUCAACUAUUUUUUUCCGAUGUAAGUUGUCAAGCCUGUCCCGCAGACCCUGGCCAAGUGACAGAUGAAAGGAGUACUUAGACACAGGUAUCCAGUGAAAGGAUGGGCUAGGGGA
rnacentral:lncRNA from 1 species